CGAGCACAAAGUUCAGGGAAGGAUACGAGGCCCGGCUGUGCACUGGCGCUUCGGCAUCUGGCAAUCUGCUUAAAAGUCGCUUCACAAACUCUCCAAGUUUGGGAACUUGACCAGAGCAGAAAAGGUCCAGCUUGGUGAUGCAUCUCAAAGUGAGCCUGUGUGCGAUGACUACUCCGAGGAAGCACUGGAUCUCUGCAAACAGUCUGGAAGCUGCUCUGAGACCCGUCCAGGCAGUGCCCUUCCUUCUUCCCAGAGCACUUGCACUAUGAUGGGCCUAAGAUUUCAUCCUGCAAGGGGUGCAUAGUGCUUUUUGAAGCUAUGGCUUGAUGUCUUUCAUCAGUUUUGAG